CUUUUUUUUUGUGCAAUGUGUAGUGAUUUGUCCUACAACAAUUUCACAACUCAAAGCACAUGUCAAGAACGUAACAUAAACUUAUUUGCGAGCUCCUUAAUGGGCAAUGUAUCAAAUACUGUUUCAUGUUUAAAAAACUUUGGUUGCCCAAAAAGUAAGUAAAGUUUUGUUUUUUUUUUUAUUAUUUUGAACUUAUAAUUUUAAAUUAUAAUUUAGAGCCUAGAAUAGGCCUGGGCUUAUGGUUAGGUCCAACUAUUACUAAAAUAAGCAGAAAUGGACAUUGCCUAAAAGCCAUAAAACUCAUAUGCCCUUUAACCUUUUAAUUUCUAUGGGCCUCGUUUAUAUAUUGCACAACCUAAGAGGGAGAGUGAAUUGGGUUUUCUAAAAAUUUCACAUUUUAAAAACACAAGAUCAGAAUACUGUUCUAGUGGAAUUAGAAAGCGUUA